GGUCAGUCAGAUCUGGACAGUGGGGAGAACAUGAUGCUGCUGGUGGACCCUCCUCUGGACAAACCCAUUGUCAUAAAUGUGCCAAAGUCCGGCAGCGGCCCGGGCUCCCCCGCUCUGUACAGCCCCGCCUCCUCAGACUCAAACCCCGCCCCCGUCUACAUCAACCACCACAAACCAUCCAAUCAUGGCUCGGUGCAGUACCUCUCCACCAAUCACAGCUCCGCCCCCUCCUACAUCCCGACCAGUCACGGCGCUCCGUUCCACCACGAGUCCAUGCCUGUGUGGGCGGGGCCAGAGGACGACUGGGAGGAGUCAGAGC
ensembl:lncRNA